UACAGAGGGGGCAAGCGUUGUUCGGAAUUACUGGGCGUAAAGGGCGCGUAGGCGGCCGCCUAAGUCAGACGUGAAAUCCCUCGGCUCAACCGGGGAACUGCGUCUGAUACUGGAUGGCUUGAGAUUGGGAGAGGGAUGCGGAAUUCCAGGUGUAGCGGUGAAAUGCGUGAGAUAUCUGGAGGAACACCGGUGGCGAAGGCGGCAUCCUGGACCAACACUGACGCUGAGGAGCGAAAGCCAGGGGAGCCGAACAGGC
rnacentral:rRNA from 1 species